rnacentral:lncRNA from 1 species
CAAAAGGCCAGUGGAGGCAUCGUCACCUGAGAACAUCUUGAUGUCAAACCUGUGGAUGAUUCCCAGCUGGGAAUGCAGUCACACUCGUACAGAAGUGAGCAUGAGGGGAGAGGUGGUAAAUGUGUGACAUGAUCUCUCCCCCACCACCUGCCUGUCCUAGGGCACCAUUCUCCAUCCUGGGCCAAGCUGCUCCAUCAGUCUGACUGGUCAGACGCUGCCAGGUCCCAGUGAAGUCCAUCGCUGAAUGUCUUGGGGCAUGUGUGGGAGCAAGACUGGAUGCGUAAAGUGAGCACUGUGUUCUACUCUUUGCAGGCUUCCUUGCUGUAUCCCACUGAAGGGGAUAAGAAGAAGGAAUCAUUGGGACUGUCUUUGAUCCCCCCAAUACUCAGGGAAGUAAGUCCCGAUGUUGGCAGUGCUGCAGGGUCUCUGCAAAGCUCUCUGCAGCUGGAUGUGCAAGAGUCCCAGGAGAUGAGGUCCACAUCCGGCAGCAGAAGUGAAGAUGACGACUCUGAAGAAGGAGGUAGGUACAGGACAUGUCUGUCCUCAAAUGACCAUUGGAAUUUUGACACAGAAUUCGUAUUUUGAAUGAUUGAGUAAAAAUAAUUCUCUUCAAAAAUUCUUCAAUUUGAUUUCACUUUUUUAUUGGGCUCAGUGGGCUCCUGAAGAGCCCAAUCACUGGGAGUGUGCUGUGAUGGUGCAGUGAAAAUUCCUCCAGUGUGAAGUGUUGUGUGGCUGAGCUGGAAUGGUACCUUGGGGCCCUGGAAGUGCAGCACAGGAAAAGGAAACAUUCCUCUCCAUCCAGCACUUGCCCUUCAUCUCCCUGCAGCAUUUCCAGUGUCACAGUUAGUAGAGAAUAAGCAGGCAUUUAUCAUGAAAUGGGAAAUGUUCCCAGUCCUUCGUCCUGCCCUUAAAGGAGAAAA